rnacentral:rRNA from 1 species
AGAGUUUGAUCAUGGCUCAGGACGAACGCUGGCGGCGUGCCUAAUACAUGCAAGUCGAGCGAGCGGAACUAACAGAUUUACUUCGGUAAUGACGUUAGGAAAGCGAGCGGCGGAUGGGUGAGUAACACGUGGGGAACCUGCCCCAUAGUCUGGGAUACCACUUGGAAACAGGUGCUAAUACCGGAUAAGAAAGCAGAUCGCAUGAUCAGCUUUUAAAAGGCGGCGUAAGCUGUCGCUAUGGGAUGGCCCCGCGGUGCAUUAGCUAAUUGGUAAGGUAAAGGCUUACCAAGGCGAUGAUGCAUAGCCGAGUUGAGAGACUGAUCGGCCACAUUGGGACUGAGACACGGCCCAAACUCCUACGGGAGGCAGCAGUAGGGAAUCUUCCACAAUGGACGCAAGUCUGAUGGAGCAACGCCGCGUGAGUGAAGAAGGUUUUCGGAUCGUAAAGCUCUGUUGUUGGUGAAGAAGGAUAGAGGUAGUAACUGGCCUUUAUUUGACGGUAAUCAACCAGAAAGUCACGGCUAACUACGUGCCAGCAGCCGCGGUAAUACGUAGGUGGCAAGCGUUGUCCGGAUUUAUUGGGCGUAAAGCGAGCGCAGGCGGAAGAAUAAGUCUGAUGUGAAAGCCCUCGGCUUAACCGAGGAACUGCAUCGGAAACUGUUUUUCUUGAGUGCAGAAGAGGAGAGUGGAACUCCAUGUGUAGCGGUGGAAUGCGUAGAUAUAUGGAAGAACACCAGUGGCGAAGGCGGCUCUCUGGUCUGCAACUGACGCUGAGGCUCGAAAGCAUGGGUAGCGAACAGGAUUAGAUACCCUGGUAGUCC